UACGGGGGGAGCAAGCGUUGUUCGGAUUUACUGGGCGUAAAGGGCGCGUAGGCGGUCAGCACAAGUCAGUUGUGAAAUCUCCGGGCUUAACUCGGAAAGGUCAACUGAUACUGUGCGACUAGAGUGCAGAAGGGGCAACUGGAAUUCUCGGUGUAGCGGUGAAAUGCGUAGAUAUCGAGAGGAACACCUGCGGCGAAGGCGGGUUGCUGGGCUGACACUGACGCUGACGCGCGAAAGCCAGGGGAGCGAACGGG
rnacentral:rRNA from 1 species